UGGGGAAUAUUGCACAAUGGGCGCAAGCCUGAUGCAGCCAUGCCGCGUGUAUGAAGAAGGCCUUCGGGUUGUAAAGUACUUUCAGCGGGGAGGAAGGCGAUAAGGUUAAUAACCUUGUCGAUUGACGUUACCCGCAGAAGAAGCACCGGCUAACUCCGUGCCAGCAGCCGCGGUAAUACGGAGGGUGCAAGCGUUAAUCGGAAUUACUGGGCGUAAAGCGCACGCAGGCGGUCUGUCAAGUCGGAUGUGAAAUCCCCGGGCUCAACCUGGGAACUGCAUUCGAAACUGGCAGGCUAGAGUCGUGUAGAGGGGGGUAGAAUUCCAGGUGUAGCGGUGAAAUGCGUAGAGAUCUGGAGGAAUACCGGUGGCGAAGGCGGCCCCCUGGACAAAGACUGACGCUCAGGUGCGAAAGCGUGGGGAGCAAACA
rnacentral:rRNA from 1 species